CAAAUUUCUGCCCUAUCAACUUUCGAUGGUAGAGUAGUGGUCUACCAUGGUUUCAACGGGUAACGGGGAAUUAGGGUUCUAUUCCGGAGAGGGAGCCUGAGAAACGGCUACCACAUCCAAGGAAGGCAGCAGGCGCGCAAAUUACCCAAUCCCGACACGGGGAGGUAGUGACAAUAAAUACUGAUACAGGGCUCUUCUGGGUCUUGUAAUUGGAAUGAGUACAAUUUAAAUCCCUUAACGAGGAACAAUUGGAGGGCAAGUCUGGUGCCAGCAGCCGCGGUAAUUCCAGCUCCAAUAGCGUAUAUUAAAGUUGUUGCAGUUAAAAAGCUCGUAGUUGAACCUUGGGCCUGGCUGGCCGGUCCGCCUCACCGCGUGCAACUGGUCCGGCCGGGCCUUUCCUUCUGGGGAGCCGCAUGCCCUUCACUGGGUGUGUCGGGGAAACCAGGACUUUUACUUUGAAAAAAUUAGAGUGUUCAAAGCAGGCCUAUGCUCGAAUACAUUAGCAUGGAAUAAUAGAAUAGGACGUGUGGUUC
rnacentral:rRNA from 1 species